rnacentral:rRNA from 1 species
AUUGAACGCUGGCGGCAUGCCUUACACAUGCAAGUCGAACGGUAACGCGGGGCAACCUGGCGACGAGUGGCGAACGAGUGAGUAAUGCAUCGGAACGUGCCCAGUUGUGGGGGAUAACUGCUCGAAAGAGCAGCUAAUACCGCAUACGACCUGAGGGUGAAAGCGGGGGAUCGCAAGACCUCGCGCAAUUGGAGCGGCCGAUGUCGGGUUAGCUAGUUGGUGGGGUAAAGGCCCACCAAGGCGACGAUCCGUAGCUGGUCUGAGAGGACGACCAGCCACACUGGGACUGAGACACGGCCCAGACUCCUACGGGAGGCAGCAGUGGGGAAUUUUGGACAAUGGACGCAAGUCUGAUCCAGCCAUGCCGCGUGCGGGAAGAAGGCCUUCGGGUUGUAAACCGCUUUUGUCAGGGAAGAAAUCUUCUGGGUUAAUACCUCGGGAGGAUGACGGUACCUGAAGAAUAAGCACCGGCUAACUACGUGCCAGCAGCCGCCGUAAGAC